CUUCUUGAAUAUGGUAUUGGAAGUCUGGCCUGUCCACUGAUAAUUAAUUGAAGGGCCGCGGUAUUUUGACCGUGCAAAGGUAGCAUAAUCAUUAGUCUUUUAAUUGAGGACUGGUAUGAAUGGUUUGACGAAAUAGUAACUGUCUCAUAUAUAAUUAAUUGAAAUUUACUUUUAAGUUAAAAGGCUUAAAUUAUGAUAAGGGACGAGAAGACCCUAUAGAUCUUUAUAAUUGCUUUAUAUUAUUAAAUUUGGUUGUUAAAUUAUUUUAUAGUUUUUGAUUAUUUAUUUGGGGUGAUAUGAGAAUACAAUAACUUCUUAAUUUUUAACUUUGAUGAAUGAAUAUAAGAUCUUUUAGUUAUGGAAAUAAGAUUAAGAUACCUUAGGGAUAACAGCGUUAUUUCAUUGGAGAGUUCUUAUUGAUAAUGUGGAUUGCGACCUCGAUGUUGGAUUAAG
rnacentral:rRNA from 1 species